rnacentral:lncRNA from 1 species
AUGAUAUGUAAAUAGCCAAUGUGUCAAAAGAAUGUUGCAAGCUCAUCAGGUUCCACAGUCGUUAUAUACAUCCGAUGAUAGUGUCAAAGGUGAUAAAAAAGCCUUUGCAGCAGCUAAAAGUCUUCGUAAUUAUUUUUCAGCAGUGGUAAAAUUAGUUUCUCCAUUAAUAAAAUUUAAGUAUUUGAGUUGAAUAAAUUAUUUCAGGAAGCAAAAAGGUAUAGUAAUGGCUAUACUAAUGUUGGGGCAUCUAUACCUAGCAAAGACGGCCAAGACGUGCUUGAUGACUGCAAGUAUCUUCAUAAUUUGAUCGAGUCUAAUGAUGUAGUUUUUUGCUUAAUGAUACGAGAGAAAGUCGUCUGCCAACUCUAUUAUGUGCUGAUGCUAAUAAGCUUUUGUUUUCUUUGUCUAGGGCGUUAAAGUUUUUCAAAUUAAUACAUUAUAAAUGUACCAAUGAGGUGGUGGUCCAUUGUCAAAGGCAAAGCCUUUAAACACCUUGGGAGGUGGAGCUCAUGGGUUCGAGUCCCACAGACGAUAAGGAAUAAACGAAAUUUGUCUUUCAAAAAAAAAAUACAUUAUAAAUGCAUAUAAUUAUGAUAUAUAAUGAUUUUUAAUUCAUUUUCCGUACUCCAGUGUUUAUGAACUAUGUAUGGGACUGGGCACGAAAUGUAAAGCAUCCACGCGAUCAAUCUGUUACCACAGUCCACAUAGAAUUGGUAUAAUCCUAGACAAGGAAUCAUUAUUAACAACCCAGAAGGUGUUGAUGUGUAUCAUGGAGUCCCAAAGUCACUUGAAGAUGAUGACAUUGGGAUGAUGUGAAUGUCGACAACUUUAUUGUUGUUUUGCUCAGAUAAAGGAGAAGUCAAGAGUUUCUUAGAAUUCAUCAGCUACAUAAAGGAAAAAUCAAGAUUUUAUUAGAAUUCAUCAGCUACACCUAUGAUGUAUUUGGUUUCACUGUUGAACUAAAGCUAUCAACAGUGUGUUUUAUUAUUCUAUAUUCACACCUAGCAUUCAACUAAUUCAAUAUUUUGUGGUUUUGGUUUAUCAAAGUUCAUCCUU